rnacentral:rRNA from 1 species
UACGUAGGGGGCGAGCGUUAUCCGGAUUCACUGGGUGUAAAGGGCGUGUAGGCGGGAGUGCAAGUCAGAUGUGAAAACCACGGGCUCAACCUGUGGCCUGCAUUUGAAACUGUACUUCUUGAGUACUGGAGAGGCAGACGGAAUUCCUAGUGUAGCGGUGAAAUGCGUAGAUAUUAGGAGGAACACCAGUGGCGAAGGCGGUCUGCUGGACAGCAACUGACGCUGAGGCGCGAAAGCGUGGGGAGCAAACAGG